rnacentral:rRNA from 1 species
GACAGAGGGUGCAAACGUUGCUCGGAAUUACUGGGCGUAAAGGGCGUAUAGGCGGGGAAGGCAAGUCGGGCGUGAAAUCCCCAGGCUCAACCUGGGAACUGCACUCGGAAACUGCCUUUCUUGAGUGUCGGAGAGGAAAGCGGAAUUCCUGGUGUAGAGGUGAAAUUCGUAGAUAUCAGGAGGAACACCAGUGGCGAAGGCGGCUUUCUGGACGAUAACUGACGCUGAGACGCGAAAGCGUGGGGAGCAAACAGG